GCAGUCAAAGUAGGUAAAUCCGCUUUGAUAAUGCUGGGAUGUGAUGGGGAGCGAAAUUUAGUAGCGAAGUAGCUGAUUUCACACUGUCAAGAAAAGUCUCUAUCGAGGUUAAAGGUACCCGUACCGCCAACCGACACAGGUGGGUGAGGAGAGUAUCCUAAGGCCAGCGAGAGAACUGUUGUUAAGGAACUCGGCAAAAUGACCCCGUAACUUAGGGAUAAGGGGUGCCACCAUCAGGUGGCCGCAGAGAAUAGGCCCAAGCGACUGUUUACCAAAAACAUAGGUUUCUGCUAAGUCGCAAGACGAUGUAUAGGAGCUGACGCCUGCCCGGGGCUGGAAGGUUAAGGGGAUCUGUUAGAGCAAUCGAAGCAGUGAACUUAAGCCCCAGUAAACGGCGGCCGUAACUAUAACGGUCCUAAGGUAGCGAAAUUCCUUGUCGGGUAAGUUCCGACCCGCACG
rnacentral:rRNA from 1 species